rnacentral:rRNA from 1 species
AUUGAACGCUGGCGGCAUGCUUUACACAUGCAAGUCGAACGGGCUUAGGUGCUUGCACCUAAGUUAGUGGCGAACGGGUGAGUAAUGCAUCGGAACGUACCGUGUAGUGGGGGAUAACCCGGCGAAAGUCGGAUUAAUACCGCAUACGAUCUAAGGAUGAGAGCAGGGGAUCGCAAGACCUUGCGCUAUACGAGCGGCCGAUGUCGGAUUAGCUAGUUGGUAGGGUAAAGGCCUACCAAGGCAACGAGCCGUAGCUGGUCUGAGAGGAUGAUCCGCCACACGGGGACUGAGACACGGCACAGACUCCUACGGGAGGCAGCAUUGGGGAAUUUUGGACAAUGGGCGAAAGCCUGAUCCAGCCAUGCCGCGUUAGUGAAGAAGGCCUUCGUGUUGUAAAGCUCUUUUGUCCGGGAGCAAAUCCUGUUCACUAAUACUGAGCGGGGCUGAGAGUACCGGAAGAAUAAGCACCGGCUAACUACGUGCCAGCCGCCGCCGUAACAC